rnacentral:rRNA from 1 species
GACGAACGCUGGCGGCGUGCCUAAUACAUGCAAGUCGAACGAGAGCGACCGGUGCUUGCACUGGUCAAUCUAGUGGCGAACGGGUGAGUAACACGUGGGUAACCUGCCCAUCAGAGGGGGAUAACAUCCGGAAACGGAUGCUAAAACCGCAUAGGUCUUCGAGCCGCAUGGCUUGAAGAGGAAAAGAGGCGCAAGCUUCUGCUGAUGGAUGGACCCGCGGUGCAUUAGCUAGUUGGUGAGGUAACGGCUCACCAAGGCCGUGAUGCAUAGCCGACCUGAGAGGGUGAUCGGCCACAUUGGGACUGAGACACGGCCCAAACUCCUACGGGAGGCAGCAGUAGGGAAUCUUCCGCAAUGGACGAAAGUCUGACGGAGCAACGCCGCGUGAGUGAAGAAGGUUUUCGGAUCGUAAAACUCUGUUGUUAGAGAAGAACAAGUGCUAGAGUAACUGUUAGCGCCUUGACGGUAUCUAACCAGAAAGCCACGGCUAACUACGUG